GACGAACGCUGGCGGCGUGCUUAACACAUGCAAGUCGAGCGGUAAGGCCCUUUCGGGGGUACACGAGCGGCGAACGGGUGAGUAACACGUGGGUGACCUGCCCUCAGCUCUGGGAUAAGCCUGGGAAACCGGGUCUAAUACCGGAUAUGACUCCAUGACGCAUGUUGUGGGGUGGAAAGCCUUGUGCGGCUGAGGAUGGGCCCGCGGCCUAUCAGCUUGUUGGUGGGGUGAUGGCCUACCAAGGCGACGACGGGUAGCCGGCCUGAGAGGGCGACCGGCCACACUGGGACUGAGACA
rnacentral:rRNA from 1 species